AAUUGAUGACUUAUGUCGCACAGCGGCAGUCGAGACGAAUAAAUUCGAUUGUCAGUCCUCCUGAUUAGCCGUCCUGAAAAGUUGCUUCGUCGAAACCCGGAGCUGACAAGAUCACUGUGUACCUCGUCAGAAUGCCUUCGGGAACCACCUUCUUGCACAGACUGGGAAGGAUGUGGAGGUUUUUGACGAGUCCUGUUGUCAAUCAAUGUGAGACUGAACAUCGACAAGGCGCAGGAGAAACAGAAGGAGAGCUACCGGGGGAGAAUCAAGAAGGGGAAGUAAGAAGGGCAAGUACUUCGACAUCUGGGCAAAUUACUUGGGUUUGGAAGAAGGACGAAAGGAAGGCAAGACUUGGGGGAACCUAGCUGCUUUUUCGCUCCUAGCUGGAGUCACCAUCUGUUAAGGGUUACCUUGGUGGAAGCUAACAACCUUCUCCAGUUGGACGGUCGACCACCGAAAGCCCUGAUGUCCUGCACUUCAGUGAAGCCCAUUAGACAAAGACCAUCGACUGUCCGAGCACCCCAGGAGGUAUCCCAUCCACCAGAGCCAGUGAGUUCAGAUCAGUCUGGUUCUCUGAGUCAGAAGGGUACCAGCCUGAUGUCCUCCAUUACCAACCACUCUCCAACUUUUCAUUACAUCUGCUACAGCUACUGUUGUUGUCAUUAUCUUCUAAGAAAGUAUUCGUGCGCUAUCAUGCUGGGCACAUAUGUGCAAUACACAGAUUAACUAACUAAAAACACUCCGAACAAAGAGAGCGCAGCAGUGACUGGACUUUGUAGUCUCCCUCUUCAAGUCCCCCUUCUGAGACUGGCUGCCUGUCGUGAACAAGUGACAGGCAGAACCUCCCACCCACACAGCAACCACCUCCUUUAUAUUCCACACACCAAAAUUCUGUAUUUUAGUUUUUGAUUGCCAUGAGUGUACAAAAAAAUCUGUGAAAAAUAUUAGUGCCACAACUGUACCAAAAGAAUAUCAAUGUUUAUGUAUUAAAAUCUGUAAUAUUGCCAGGUUGGUUUUCACAGCUGUUUCACAAGGUGUUAAUUGUAAGGUAUCCCUUGAUGGUAUUUAUUAGUUCCACAUUACUUAUUGUUGUGUCCUAGGAUCUACUAUAUAUAUAUAUAUAUAUAUAUAUA